rnacentral:rRNA from 1 species
CCUACGGGAGGCAGCAGUGAGGAAUAUUGGUCAAUGGGCGCGAGCCUGAUCCAGCCAAGUAGCGUGAAGGAUGACUGCCCUACGGGUUGUAAACUUCUUUUAUAAAGGAAUAAAGUGAGGCACGUGUGCCUUUUUGUAUGUACUUUAUGAAUAAGGAUCGUCUAACUCCGUGCCAGCAGCCGCGGUAAUACGGAGGGUCCGAGCGUUACCCGGAUUUACUGGGUUUAAAGGGAGCGUAGAUGGGUUGGUAAGUCAGUUGUGAAAGUCUGCGGCUCAACCGUAAACUUGCAAUUGAUACUGGCAGCCUUGAGUGCAGGUGAGGUAGGCGGAAUUCGUGGUGUAGCGGUGAAAUGCUUAGAUAUCACGAAGAACUCCGAUUGCGAAGGCAGCCUACUAAACUGCCACUGACAUUGAUGCUCGAAAGUGUGGGUAUCAAACAGGAUUAGAUACCCCAGUAGUC